AACGAACGCUGGCGGCGCGCCUAAUACAUGCAAGUCGAGCGAGAAGACGUAGCAAUACGUUUGUAAAGCGGCGAACGGGUGAGGAAUACAUGGGUAACCUACCCUCGAGUGGGGAAUAACUAGCCGAAAGGUUAGCUAAUACCGCAUACGCUUCCCGGACUGCGGUUCGGGAAAGAAAGCGAUACCGUGGGUAUCGCGCUCUUGGAUGGGCUCAUGUCCUAUCAGCUUGUUGGUGAGGAAUGGCUCACCAAGGCUUCGACGGGUAGCUGGUCUGAGAGGACGAUCAGCCACACUGGCACUGCGACACGGGCCAGACUCCUACGGGAGGCAGCAGUAAGGAAUAUUGCGCAAUGGACGAAAGUCUGACGCAGCGACGCCGCGCGGGGGA
rnacentral:rRNA from 1 species